rnacentral:lncRNA from 1 species
UCAAAUAAUAUAUUCAAACAUGUAAUUGAUAAAUAAUAUCAAUCCUUCUUCCAAAUGCAAACAUGAUGCAAAUGCUUACACAUAAUCAAGUAAUGCACUGUUGUUCUCGAGUUUUCACCAAAGGAUACACAUCAGUACCUAAUUACACUCUCCAUUCGGAGUCUUCCUAAUGUAAACUUUUGGGUUUUUUACCCUAAGGAUCUCACU